CACCAGGUUGAUUCUGCCUGACGUAUGCGCUUGUCUUGAAGAUUUAGCCAUGCAAGCUAGCGAAGCCUUAUGGUGGAGCGGCGGACAGCUCAGUAAUACAGUUAUUAUUUACUCGUAGUAUGUAUACGGAUAACCAUGGUAAGCUAUGGCUAAUACGUGAACAGGUUAUUGCAUAGAUGAAACAGCGAUAACUGAGAGAGCAAUCGACUACGACUAAGUUUCUGGCCUAUCAGCUAGAUGGUAAGGUAAUGGCUUACCAUGGCUAUAACGGGUAACGGGAAAUCAGUGUUUGAUUCCGGAGAGGGAGCCUGAGAAAUAGCUCCCACGUCCAAGGACGGCAGCAGGCGCGAAACUUACCCAAUUCCUUAGCGGGAGAGGUAGUGAAGAGACAUGAAGUUCUACUUAGAGACUGUACGGUAAAAUAGUACAGGAUCUACUGGAGGGCAAGUCUGGUGCCAGCAGCCGCGGUAAUUCCAGCUCCAGUAGCGCAUAUAAUAGUUGCUGCAGUUAAAACGUCCGUAGUUGAUCACAAGGUAUUCUUCUGCAUAGUAUUUGUGGAGUGUAUCUCGAUACUGUGAGAAAAAUAUGGUUCUCAAAGCGGAUUACGUGAGUAAUUUAGCAUGGGACAUGGUGAAUAUAGGAACAGAUGAUGGCAAUAGUAUUCAGCAGUUAGAGGUGAAAAUCGUUGACCUGCUGAGGACUCUCUGAAGCGAAAGCGAUUGUCAAGUAUGUCUCCGUUAAUAAAGGACUUAAGCUGGAGUAUCGAAGAUGAUUAGAUACCGUCGUAGUUCCAGCUGUAAACUAUGCCGACUAGGUGAGGCCGUCAGGCUGCGCCUUAGGAGAAAUCAAAGUUUUUGGGCUCUGGGGAUAGUAUGGAUGCAAAUCUGAAACUUAAAGAAAUUGACGGAAGGACACCACAAGGAGUGGAUUGUGCGGCUUAAUUUGACUCAACGCGGGGCAACUUACCAGGGCCGAAUGCAUAGGAGAUCGGCUGUCUGAGAGGGUACCCGAGAUUAUGCAGGAGGUGGUGCAUGGCCGUUUUCAACACGUGGGGUGGCCUGUCUGGUUAAUUCCGUAAACGCGUGAGGCCUGGGAAGCAAUUCAUUGCUUGACGGAUAGCGGCAAGCUAUAGGAAGACAGGCUAUAACAGGUCAGUGAUGCCCCUAGAUGUUCUGGGCUGCACGCGCAAUACAAUGGUAUAGUGAGACUAUGUACUGAAAAGUAUGCUUUAAGCUAUAUCGAAUCUGGGAUAAGCUCUUGUAAAUGAGUUUUGAACGAGGAAUUCCUAGUAAUCGCAGGUCAUAAUGCUGCGAUGAAUGCGUCCCUGUUCUUUGUACACACCGCCCGUCACUAUCUUAGAUGGAUGUAUCGGUGAAAUGGCUGGACGAAAGAAAGGCAGUUGAACCUAUACAAUUAGAUAAGAUAUAAGUCGUAACAAGGCUGCUAUAGGUGAACCUGUGGCAGGAUCAUUA
rnacentral:rRNA from 15 species